UUUCAGGGACCAAUCGAUAUCGGAUUGAGUCCAAAACAUAGGGAACAUCGUAAUAUGAUGGGAGCAGUCAUUUGGUGUCUUUUGACUGAAAUCCAAUCUCUGCUACUAUGCAAUACAUCAACUACUCCAUUUCAUAACGAACUUCGUACGAACCUGAAUUGUCCAAUUUCAUGCAACAAUCGAUAUCGGAUUGAGUCCAAAACUUGGGGAACAUCAUAAUACGGUGGGAGGAGUCAUUUGGCAGAUUUUG
rnacentral:lncRNA from 1 species